rnacentral:rRNA from 1 species
ACAGUGUCUGGUGGGUAGUUUGACUGGGGCGGUCUCCUCCUAAAGAGUAACGGAGGAGCACGAAGGUUGGCUAAUCCUGGUCGGACAUCAGGAGGUUAGUGCAAUGGCAUAAGCCAGCUUGACUGCGAGCGUGACGGCGCGAGCAGGUGCGAAAGCAGGUCAUAGUGAUCCGGUGGUUCUGAAUGGAAGGGCCAUCGCUCAACGGAUAAAAGGUACUCCGGGGAUAACAGGCUGAUACCGCCCAAGAGUUCAUAUCGACGGCGGUGUUUGGCACCUCGAUGUCGGCUCAUCACAUCCUGGGGCUGAAGUAGGUCCCAAGGGUAUGGCUGUUCGCCAUUUAAAGUGGUACGCGAGCUGGGUUUAGAACGUCGUGAGACAGUUCGGUCCCUAUCUGCCGUGGGCGCUGGAGAACUGAGGGGGGCUGCUCCUAGUACGAGAGGACCGGAGUGGACGCAUCACUGGUGUUCGGGUUGUCAUGCCAAUGGCACUGCCCGGUAGCUAAAUGCGGAAGAGAUAAGUGCUGAAAGCAUCUAAGCACGAAACUUGCCCCGAGAUGAGUUCUCCCUGACUCCUUGAGAGUCCUGAAGGAACGUUGAAGACGACGACGUUGAUAGGCCGGAUGUGUAAGCGCAGCGAUGCGUUGAGCUAACCGGUACUAAUGAACCGUGAGGCUUAACCUU